rnacentral:rRNA from 1 species
UGGGGAAUCUUCCGCAAUGGACGAAAGUCUGACGGAGCAACGCCGCGUGAGUGAAGAAGGUUUUCGGAUCGUAAAACUCUGUCUUUUGGGGCGAACGUGAGUAUGGUGAACAAUCAUAGUCAGUGACGGUACCAAAGGAGGAAGCCACGGCUAACUACGUGCCAGCAGCCGCGGUAAUACGUAGGUGGCAAGCGUUGUCCGGAAUUAUUGGGCGUAAAGAGCGCGUAGGCGGGAUAGUCAGUCUGUUGUAAAGUGCGGGGCUCAACCCCGUGAUCGCAAUGGAAACAGCUAUUCUUGAGUGCAGGAGAGGAAAGUGGAAUUCCCAGUGUAGCGGUGAAAUGCGUAGAUAUUGGGAGGAACACCAGUGGCGAAGGCGACUUUCUGGACUGUGUCUGACGCUGAGGCGCGAAAGCCAGGGGAGCGAACGGGAUUAGAUACCCCGGUAGUCCUGGCCGUAAACGAUGGGUACUAGGUGUGGGAGGUAUCGACCCCUUCCGUGCCGGAGUUAACGCAAUAAGUACCCCGCCUGGGGAGUACGGUCGCAAGACUGAAACUCAAAUGAAUUGACGGGGGUCAUAGCUGUUUCCU